rnacentral:lncRNA from 1 species
CUAGAACCCAGGGCUGGGGAAUCCCAUGCACAGGAGCGUAGGAUAUCUCGACAAAAUGCCUGCAUGAUGGUGUCUUUAGGGGAGAAUUGAGAGGCUGCUGCCUCAAGUACAUGUCAGGGAUCCUUCCCUGGGGAUCACACUCAGCUUCUACACAGAAGACCCUGGCAGAGGAAAAAUAGACUUUUCUAACAGCCCCAUAUGCUGAUCUGUCUAGAUAAAGCCUUGGGAAAGAACAUUAUUAUCCAACAGUGAUGCUGGAACAUUGCCCAGAUAUCAAUUUCUGGAUGAGUCACCACAGAUUCUGCAAGAAUGGGCCAGACAGAUUCUGAAAGGUCCCAGAGCUCUUGGCUCAUUUGCAGCCCAGGUCCAAAUGUCUUCACUUUGCUGAGGAGACUGAGGGUCAUGCCAUGGAGCCCAUCAGGAGUAUGACAGCAAAGUUGGUGCAGUUCAGACUUUGACUUCUCCUUUUAUCACCAAGAUUGUUUGGCAGAACAUAGGAGGAAUUCCAGCCCACAGGGAGUUGCCCCAGAAAUUAGAUUCAAGAGACAUGUUCAAACCAAUCUGCAGCCUAUAAAUUUAUAUGAUUAUACUGAUCUUCCCAGAAACAAGGAGGUUCAUGUCAUCCCACCAGGGCUUCAACUUGCUGCACUGAAUAACCAGGAACUGACUUUCUGGUGAUGGCUGGAUAAAAGCACUGGGUGAUGGAUGGGGUCAGGGAUGUUUCACAACAGCCACUCAGGAGACCUGGGAACCAAACCAGCCGCUUACCGGAAAGGCCGUUCAUGGGCCAGUUUGCUCCUGUUCCCAGAUCCAGUGACCCUUCUCCUGGAUGUUGCAGAUUUUUAGAAGAAAAGCCAGUGGGCUCCCAGACUAAGUUAAAAAAGGUACCUUCUUUAAUUUUGCAUAUUGUUAGCUACAAUCCGGUUGCUAAUGUUUGUUUUAUUUCCAUCUGUCAAAAGCAAUGCC